CGUCGGUUACAAAUCCUACUUGUAGCUCCACCACAAGUUCCAUUUUCCCGAAUUCAUUAUCCCAAUUUCGACCCAAUACACCCGUUUGGAAAGUUAUUCAGCUAUGAGCAUCGCUUCAUCAAUGACAUGGGUGGUGUGAUAGAGCGUAUAAAUGUCAAUACUGUCAGUUGUGAGUGGCCACGCAUAAUCGAGCAGUUUGAGCAACGGAGCAAAACAUUACCCCGCUCAUUUUGAAUGACGUGCAGAUGGAGCACGGGUGAAAUCAUGCAAUAGGGUGCGGAACAAUAAAAUUAAACAUAAAAAUUGAACAUGGUAAUUGUUCAAUGUUUAUACCUAGAAAAGUAUAAAAGAUGGAAUGUCGAAUGUGAAUGUUCUCUUUUUGCUGUGGAUUCUUGUACGUAAUAGUAGUGCGCGCGUGUGUAAAUGUUAUUAAAUUUUGAGGUUAGUUUGUUAGUACCUCGUUUUAGUGGAAGUGUUAUUAAUUGUUUAUUGUUUCUCUAGAUUGUUAUUUGUUUAGUACAAACAUGCAAGUUAGUACGGAUUAAAAUCACCACAGUCUAAAACGGUGAUUAUUAGUACGAACACGAAUUAAAACCCAAGAAAAAGCAAGUGAACAAACAAAACAAACAAAAAUACCAACAAGAAAAAGAAUACUAUUUCCGGAACUCCCGGACGCGCAGUGAACCAGACCCAGCAGGAAGAAGCCUGAGUGAACGUCCAAUCCAGGCCUUCGUCGGUGUCAGCGACGACCAGAGCCGGUUCAAUCCCGUCGACCGUUGUGCGACGACGCCAUCUUUAAUCCCAUCAUCCUCCGGCCAAACCCAGUGUGCCAAGACGCCAUGACGAACCACAACGCGUUCCGAUGGGCGGCCUGAUCAACCGCUCGUCGACCUCCGUGGCCACCAUCCGGCCAACCAGACCAGCAAACAGCAGCUAAACCGCAAGUAACCACCCACCCCCCCUCUCCUGUGACGAUGUGACCAAAUAAACCGGUAUUGUUAUUAUGAAGAUUAUAGCCUCGUAUAUUCAAUCAGAGGAAACCCCGGUUAAUAAUAUUUCCACUAGUUCCACUUUUGCUCGUUCUUCCCGGGUUCGAAAGGAACCGUCAAGCCUCGACGUCCUUGUGAUUCGCAAGUGAAUUAGACUUUGGAUUUAGACCCCCCCCCUUCUAGGUUUCAUCGUUGUUCCAUAGCCCUAUUCAUAAUCAACCAGUGUUCCAUCCAAAGUAAAAUGUAAGUACUGUUCCUGCCGAGUAUGUGUACCCCCUGCCGACAAGUGGCGAUGUUUAUGCUCAAAAUCAUAGCAAUAACGACCCUGUAGAUUCCAAACCCAAAGUCCCUGAGCUGGCAAGUU